CCUUUGUUCCUGACAUCGCUAUUAUUGGAAGGUGGAAGAUCGCAUUUCACCGAGCGACGUGAUGGCGUCUUAACGAAGCUUAUUCCCGUUGCUACGUUGCAAAGUCAAACCUUCCGGAGACGAGAGACGACCAAUCGAUGAAAAGGUGACUCAAAAUAUCCAUGACAAGAGCGGAACGAUCAAUGAUGUAUGAGAAGCGAAAGUCAGUUGGUCAGCAGUGUGCCGAACAAAAUCAUGAAAGGCGCACUGACUGAUAAGCCUAAAAACUCAUGAUGAAAUGGACGAAAAAAGAAGAAUGCCUGAUGCCUGGAUCAGUAGAGGCCAACAGCGUCACCGGUUCCAACGAUGAAACGACCUCGGCAUCGAUGUAUUUUUAUUUAACAGUGUAAUAAAUAAGUGAAAUAAUUUCGAUAACAAAUAAAAAAUGGUUUAAAAAAGA